rnacentral:rRNA from 1 species
UACAGAGGGUGCGAGCGUUGUCCGGAAUCACUGGGCGUAAAGGGCGCGUAGGUGGCGCCGCAAGUCGGUGGUGAAAGCUCGAUGCUCAACAUCGAGUCGGCCAUCGAAACUGCGGGGCUGGAGCACUGUAGGGGCAGAUGGAAUUCCGGGUGUAGCGGUGGAAUGCGUAGAGAUCCGGAGGAACACCAGUGGCGAAGGCGGCCCCCUGGGCCGCGCCUGACGCUGAGACGCGAAAGCGCGGGGAGCGAACGGG